GCCCUUGUCGUUCAAUGGAUAGGACAUGACUUUGCGGAAGUUAAAAUUGUGGUUCGAUUCCACACAGGGGCA
rfam:Candidatus Wolfebacteria bacterium RIFOXYD1_FTLL_48_65 rifoxyd1_full_scaffold_563, whole genome shotgun sequence.